CUUCCUCCCUCCCUUCCGUCCUUCCGUGACAGCUGAUCAGUCCGAAGCCCAAGGAGAAGCAGCGGCACUUCUGCAGAGCGAGCGUUCCUUAGGAGGGCAAGACCUACUGUGCCAGCAUGUGAAGAUGGUAGACUGCAGCCAAACAGUGCCCACCAGUGAUCGGGGUGGCAACAUCCCAAGGAUACUCCAAGAUCAAGGUCAUUGAGAGAACUUGGGGACAUCAUUGACCCUGCAGCACUGGAGGGUUUUUGGAUGCUUUUCUCGGAUUCCCUAAGGAUAUCAUCAUAUCAUCAACAGCAAAGAGCAAUCGCAUGUUUCCUGAGUAAGAAGCUUUGAAGGGGCAAUUUGAAAAGAAGAAUCUGCAUAGGAGAAGGAGGAGAAAGAAAAACAGUUGUAAAGGUAAGUGCAUGGUGUUCUGGUGUUGUAUAUAUCUCUAUCUGUAUUUCUAUCUCUCUCUGUCUCUCUAUGAUAUCUCUAUAUAUCUCUUUAUCCCUAUCUAUCCCUCUGUCUUCUUCCUCUUCAGCUAUCUAUUUCUCUUCCUCUAAUAGUUCUCAGUUAUCCACCCCUCUCUCCAUUUCCUCUCUGCAUCUCUAGCUAUCUCUCCUAUCUGUCCCUCUCAAUCCUAUCAAACUAUCUUCUCUAUCUCUUUAUCCACUCUAUCUAUCCAUUCCAUCUGUCUAUCUCUCUGUUCAUUGUCUAUCAUCGCUCUAUCUUUAUCUGCUUUUCUCUUACUUGUCUCUAUGUAUGUCUCUAUUUGUCCCUGUCCCUCUCUAGCUAUUUAUCCAUCUUUUCCUCCUUCUAUGUCCCUGUCUAUUUUGUCUCUUUCCAUCUAUCUAUCCUACCUCUCAAUCCAUUUCCCUAGCCCACUAUUUUUCUCUCUAGGGAGGGAGGGUAUUUUUUAUCUUACGAUAUCAUCUAUUCAUCUCUCUCUCUCCUCAGCUAUCUCUAACAAUAUGUCUCUUUUUGUCCAUCCAUGACUCUAUCCAUCCCUUCUCUGUCAUCUAUCCAGUCUCACUGUACUGCUCUAUCACUGUAUUUCUAUCUUUUGGUAUCAUCUAUUCCUUUCUCUCUCUCUCCUGUCUAUCUACCUCUCUGUCUCUUUAGCUAUCUCUAACAAUUCGUCUCUUCUUGUCCAUCCCAUCUCUGUCAUCUAUCCAGUCCUCCUCCACCUCUCUAUCACUGUAUUUCUAUUUUUCGAUAUCAUCUAUUCAUUUGUCUCUCUAUCCUGUCUAUCUACUGCUCUUUUUCUUUAACUUCCUCCAAGUAUAUAUCUCCUCUUGGCCAUCCACCUAUCCAUCCCGUCUCUGUCAUCUAUCCAUCUUGCUGUACCUAUCACUUUAUUUCUAACUUUUGGUAUUAUCUAUUCGUCUAUCUGAUUAUCUGAUUCCUUCUAUCUACCUUUCUUUAGCUAUCUCGAAUAUGUCUCUUCUUGUUCAUCCUGUCUCUGUCAUCUAUCCAGUCUUGCUGUACCUCUUUAUCACUGUAUUUCUAUCUUUCGGUGUCAUCUAUUCAUGUCUCUCUCUCCUGCCUAUCUACCUCUCCGUCUUUUGAACUAUCUCCAACUAUAUGUCUCUUCAUGUCCAGCCAUUUCUCUAUCUAUCCCAUCUCUCAUCUAUCCAGUCUCACUGUACCUCUUUGUGACUGUAUUUCUAUCUUUCAGUAUCAUCUAUUCAUUGUCUAUCUAUUUCUCUUUCUCUUUAACUGUUUCCAAGUAUAUAUCUCCUCUUGUCAAUCCAUCUCUCUAUCCAUCCCGUCUUUGUCAUCUAUCAUUCUUGCUGUACCUCUCUAGCACUAUGUUUCUAUCUUUCGGUAUCAUCUAUUCAUUUGUCUCUCUCUCCUGUCUAUCUACGUCUUUGUCUCCUUAGGUAUCUCCAACAAUAUAUCUCUUCUUGUCAAUCCAUUUCUUCAUACAUCCCAUCUGUGUCAUCUAUCCUUCUUGCUAUACCUCUCUAUCAUUGUAUUUCUAUUUUUUGGGAUCAUCUAUUCUUUUGUCUCUCUCCUGUCUAUCUACCUCUCUGUCUGUUUAGCUAUCUCCAACUAUAGGUCUCUUCUCGUCCUCUCCUCUCUGUGUCCAUCCAGUCUCUGUCAUCUAUUCAGUCUGACUGUACCUCUCUAUAACUAUAUUUCUAUCUCUCUCAUCUUUUCAUUUUUCUCUGUAUGCUGUCCAUCUUCCUGUUCCAGUUUUCCUUCUGUUCAUUUAUCUUUCUCUUCUAUAGCCUCAUCCAGUCUAUCUCUCUUGUCUAUCAUCCAUCUAUCCUUUCUAUCUGUCCCUCUCUAUAACUAUAUUUUUAUCUUUGCCUCUUUCCAGCUUUCUGUCUUUUGCUUUCUUUGCUAUUUAUUUAUCCAGCCUCCCUCUUUAUCAGCUUAUCUCAUCUGUCUCUGUCCUGUUCAUGUAACUCUCUAGCCUGUCCUUUAGCCCUCUAUCCAGUCUAUCUCUCAAUUCAUCUAUCUGUCCCUCUGUCUAUCAUCAUCCAUUCACCCUUUCCUUCUCUAUCUCCUAUCUAUUUAUAUAUCAUCUGUUUCUAUCAUCUAUUCAUUUGUCUAUCAUAAUUAUCCAUUCUGUCCCUUUGUUCUUUUCUCUCAUCUAUUCCAUCUGUCUUUCUAUCUUGUUUUCCUUAAUUUCUCCAUCUGUGUUUAAUUUUUUUCAAAUGACUAGAUGGAGGGGAGAGAGGAUAAAUUAUAAUCUAUCCUGUCUCUCCCCCAUCUUAUCUCUAUCUAACUGUAUGUCCCUCUAUCAUCUUUCUUUCCAUUCUGUCUACUGUGCCUCUCUCUAACUAUAUGUCUAUCCUUCUCUCUUGUCUAUCAAUAUAGUUCUCUAUUUUUCUAACAUCUCUUUAUCUAUAUUGUCUGCCUCAUCUAUAUUGUCUCCCCCUCUGUGCGUGUGUGUGUGUGUGU